UAAUGCUUGGGAACUUGCCUUUGCGAGGGGGAUAACAGUUGGAAACGACUGCUAAUACCGCAUAAUGUUUACGGACCAAACGGGGCUUAGGCUCCGGCGCAAAGAGAGGCCCAAGUGAGAUUAGCUAGUUGGUAAGGUAAAGGCUUACCAAGGCAACGAUCUCUAGCUGUUCUGAGAGGAAGAUCAGCCACACUGGAACUGAGACACGGUCCAGACUCCUACGGGAGGCAGCAGUGGGGAAUAUUGCACAAUGGGGGAAACCCUGAUGCAGCCAUGCCGCGUGUGUGAAGAAGGCCUUCGGGUUGUAAAGCACUUUCAGUUGUGAGGAAAAGUUAGUAGUUAAUACCUGCUAGCCGUGACGUUAACAACAGAAGAAGCACCGGCUAACUCCGUGCCAGCAGCCGCGGUAAUACGGAGGGUGCGAGCGUUAAUCGGAAUUACUGGGCGUAAAGCGCACGCAGGCGGUUUGUUAAGCUAGAUGUGAAAGCCCCGGGCUCAACCUGGGAUGGUCAUUUAGAACUGGCAGACUAGAGUCUUGGAGAGGGGAGUGGAAUUCCAGGUGUAGCGGUGAAAUGCGUAGAUAUCUGGAGGAACAUCAGUGGCGAAGGCGACUCCCUGGC
rnacentral:rRNA from 1 species